GAAAUAACCGACUAUCCCCCGGGGUUUUGCAGGCUUUCGCGGGAGCGGGAAGUCACAGCUGCGGGGAAGCUUUCGGCUGAAAACAUGGCCACAGACCUCGGCAGUCGGGGAGAGCCAGAUCAGAGACUAAAUGCGGCUUUUGGACAAUAUGAAACAGAUAAGUUUUUGAGAGCUACUGCUGAGCAGAAAAACGUCCUUGAACGCGAUGCGGUGCCAGGAUCCAGAAUGAUGAGCCAAAGCUUGUUAUUGCCUCUAAUUACAGAGUAUGAUAAGCACUUGGAAGAAAUGAGUGAACAGCUGCAGCUUUAUCAGGCACAAAUGGCUGAGAUGAGACUAAAAUUUGAACAAGUCACCAAGGAAAAUGAAAGGUUGCAUGCAGAGUUGAAGGAGGCUGUUGAGAAGCAACUGGAGGCUCUUCCUUUCAUGCUUACGGGGACUGAGGUUCCUGCAGAUGAAGAAAUAGUGAGAAAUCUUCAAGAACAACUACAGCUGGCCAGUCAAGAAAAAGAACACGCAUUAGAACUCUGGCGGACUGUCUCACAGGAACUUGAUCGACUCCAGCAGCGAUACCAGGAGCACAUGACUGAAACACAAAUUCAUGUGGCUGAAAGGCAAAAGCAGAAAGAUCAACUGACUGGCUUUCAACAGCUGACUCAGCAACUGCAUGUAGCCAAUGAGAAAAUAGAGUUGAGCAAUCAACAGUUUCUGAAAACAGUAACAGAACAGAAUGUGGAACUAGAGCAGCUACGCAAACAACUGAGGCAAGCUAAAAUAGAUGGGCGGACAGCAACUGCGAAGGUUGAUGAAAUGACCAGAUUGACAGAGAAGCUUCAAGGACAGUUGGAGAGAAAGGAGGAAGACAUGGUAUCUGCUCAGCAGAGAGAAGAAGCAUCUGACAAACGCUUGCAGCAAAUGCAGUCUAGUAUAAAACAAUUAGAAACAAGAUUACGUGUUACCAUCCAAGACGCUGAACACCUGAGAACAGAAAGAGCAGCCCUGGAGAAGCAAAUCAGAGAGCUUCAGACAAAGUGUGCUAAUCUAGAAAAGGAGAAGUAUAAUGCUGUUGCAAAAGUCCAAGAUAGCAUACAGCUUUUAGAAGAAGCUAACUUACAAAAAAGUCAGGCACUGUUUGGGGAAAAACAAAAGGAAGAGGAAAUCAGAAAGAUGAAAGAUGAAAUGUCCCAACUUGCAGAAGAUACUGCUGCAAAAAUUAGAAAGGCAGUAGACUCAGCAAAGAAGCAAUAUAAUGUGCAGAUUUCUCGACUAACAGAAGAACUUUCUGCUCUUCAGAUGGAAUGUGGAGAAAAGCAGAGUCAAAUUGAACGAAUCAUUAGAGAAAAGCGAGCCGUGGAAGAAGAGCUUGAAAAGAUUUACCGAGAAGACAGAGGACAUGAAUCUGACAAUAGAAAACUAGAGCAACUGCAUCAAAAAUAUCUACUUGCAGAAUGUACAAAAGGUGACCUUCAGCUGAGUCUGCAGACAACACAAAAUAAACUGAAGCAACUGGAAAUGAACUCUGAGGAAGAGAAAUCUCGUUUCCAGGAAAUGAUCUGUAAAUUGCAAAGCAUUCUGGAUUCUGAAAGAGAAAAGACUGGCUUUGUCAGUGAGCAAAGGCUAAAACUUCAGCAAGAGAACGAACAAUUGCAGAAAGAGAUGGAGGGCUUAAGAAAACUGGCCAUGGAGGCUCAACAAAAAGCUAAAAUAAAAAUAAGCACAAUGGAACAUGAGCAUUCUCUGAAAGAACAUGGAUAUGAAGCUCGACUUAAGGAAAUGGAAGACACCAGUCAAAAAUCUACUGCUGAACUGAGACGUCUCCUGGUAGCUCAGCAAAAAGCAACAAAUCGGUGGAAAGAAGAAACAAAAAAUCUUACUGAAACUACAGAAGUCAGGAUCAAUAAGCUAAAAAGUGAACUGAGUCGACAGAAACUUCGCUCCCAAGAGCUCCUUUCUCAGCUGGAAAUGGCAAAUGAGAAGGUAAUUGAGGAUGAAAAAUUAAUGAUGGAAUAUCGAGAAUACAUCAGUAGGCUUCAAAGACGACUAAGCCAGGCAGAGCAGAGGGCAGCUACAGCAUCUCAAAAGCUCAGUGUGAUAACUGCACACAAGAAAAAAGUUGCUUCCCUGAAAGAUGUGGAAAAUAUUUAAAUAUAUGUAUUGUUCAUUCACACCAUGUUGGAGUUGAGAAGAUUGCUGGAGAAACUCCAUACUGGAGAAUCGAAGAAGUCCAACGGCUAGCAAGACUUGUAAAAUUUGCAGAACCAUUUUCUAUGUAUUUUAUUCAGUGUGUAACUGCGUUGAUGACAGACUACUACCAUUCACUACUGCUCCUUGGAGAGAUGCCCUAGCUGUGAAGCUAAACCUGGCUGUUUGACUACCAGAGCGGGUUCCUGGCUUGUUCCUCACAAGGUGGACUCUCCGAGGAAAGGUACUUGGCUGAUGCAAUCAGGAUUUAAGGUUUGCUGGUUCUUCUUGUGACACUAGGUUAAUGGAAUUGAACACCGGGCUUUUUGAUCAUCAUCUUUGGUUAUUGAACCUUGUCACUCUUCACUGAGCAGUUCUUGUUUUCCCUGCCGUCCUUUACCAUCCUAAAACACUAGCGUUAAACGUUUUAAGAUUCUCUAGUGGGACAGUCAUGCUCCCCAGUGAGUAAAACCUUUGUUGUUGUCUCCGUUUCUUUAGGAAAGUAGUUUCUACAUGCUAGUUUCUUCCAGUCAACAGGUGAGAGAGAGAGACUGAAUAUGUACAAGUUUCAGUCUGGGUCUUCCCUUAACCCCUAUUCCUUCUGGUACAGGUCACUUUGCAUACCUUGGACUGUUUCUCAAAAGAGCUGUCACUGCCUACAACCAGCUCCGGCAUAGCCGGUUGAAGUGGCUAGCAGGCUGCCCUCAGCUCUGAGCGAGUCUUCUUUGUGUAACCCCAGCAGUGCAGUACCUUUCACAAAUGCAGCCAUAAGCACCACCUGUAAGGCAGCUUCAAGAACCCCUUUCAGGCUUUUAGUCCAGCUUUGAAGCGCUUGAUGUAGUAGUACCUCAGCUGAGGGCCAUCCUUUAGUCCUCCUCCUUUUGCACUGUUCUGUGAGGGGGCGGCACUCUCAGUUGCCUACACCACGAAUGCACACGCAUGUAAGUACAUACAGAUUUGACAGAGAAAAGUUACUUCCUGGUAGCUGUUUUUCAAAAUGUAUAUACAUUGGCCACUUUGUCUUUUUCUUGCUCUGCUGAGUCCAUGUUUCAGCACCAUGGGUUAAGAGGAACCAAGGAGGAGGGACAGGUUGUGCCCCCUCACCUGCUUGGAGGAGCCUGUGUCCUACAGGUCCUCUUAUAGCAGCAAACGCCUCUCUGCCAGUGUUGCCUGAAUAUAGGUAAUUCAUAGCAUGGAUGUACACUCAGCCUGCUUACCUUGAACAGCUACGGCUAAGAAGCCUCAUUUGCUUCUCCAGGGGAAUGCGUAUGAAGAUUUUGGACUUCAGAAGAACAAUACAUGUCCAAGAAUUUAAAUUGUUUGAGGGGCAUCAGGACCCAAGGAUGGACUAUUAAACAACACCAUGUUUUCCACUGAGGAGAAGGAAGAAGGCACACCUAAAGGUAAACAAAUUAAGUUAAAGCUAAGCAAUUUCAUGAAGCCUGUGAGGUGUUUUUCAGCAUAUAUGGCCAUUUGGUGGCAUAUCCAGCAGUACGUGAUGGCCGUGUGAGUGCCUAUGUAGGGAGUUGACUGCGUACUGCCAAUGUGGGUUACCUUCCUUGUAGCAGUGCUGCACCUGUUAUACUUGCAGUGAACGUAAAUCCCAACACUGCUGCAUGCGCUAAGACAGAAAAACUCGGGGUGGGGAAGCAACCAGCAAGUAUAGAUCUGACUGAUUGACAAUUCUCUCUAAAAUGUGUAUUGUUACUGAAUACUUUAAGGACAGUCUAGUUAGUUAAUCACUUUAAAGUUUUUAAUCUCUGAGAAAAGACUAUUGCCAAUGAGAACAGGCAGAAAAAAACAUGUUGUUUAAAAACUUACUAGAUACCUUUCCCAAAUUCAUUUCUUUAAACUACCAUCUACGGUGCAAAAAAACCCCCACAUAUUAAACACUAACACAGCACUAAUAAACCACAAUCUUAUUAGGUACUGUAUGGCACUUAUAUGUCGCUGCCAUAAGGAGUCAUUAGUUUAAAAAUAAAAAUCAUAUCAGAAAGCAUCUGAAGCAGCAAGCCAUUCAGUACCCUAUGGAUAAGGGCACAGAUGUACCAGUUUCUACGGCAAUGUGACCACCACUAAAGCUAUGGCGAUUGUCAUUUUUCCUCCAACCUGCUGACACGUGGUGGACUACACAAGAUUUUAAUGAGAAUAAAUGAGGUCCUGUUGUCCUUCAAAGUCAGUCAUUAGUCUCUAACCAAACUUUUUAAUGCUUGUGCCUGUGGUCUUAUCCUUAGAUGUGAAAAAGG